UACGGGGGGGGCAAGCGUUGUUCGGAAUUACUGGGCGUAAAGGGCGCGUAGGCGGCCUGCUAAGUCGGACGUGAAAUCCCUCGGCUCAACCGGGGAACUGCGUCCGAUACUGGUGGGCUCGAAUCCGGGAGAGGGAUGUGGAAUUCCCGGUGUAGCGGUGAAAUGCGCAGAUAUCGGGAAGAACACCUAUGGCGAAGGCAGCUCUCUGGGGCGGUACUGACGCUGAGACGCGAAAGCGUGGGGAGCAAACAGG
rnacentral:rRNA from 1 species